rnacentral:rRNA from 1 species
UACGAAGGGGGCUAGCGUUGUUCGGAAUUACUGGGCGUAAAGGGCGCGUAGGCGGUGGUUCAAGUCAGGCGUGAAAGCCCCGGGCUCAACCCGGGAACGGCGCUUGAGACUGGACCGCUUGAGUUCGGGAGAGGAUGGUGGAAUUCCCAGUGUAGAGGUGAAAUUCGUAGAUAUUGGGAAGAACACCGAUGGCGAAGGCAGCCAUCUGGACCGACACUGACGCUGAGGCGCGAAAGCGUGGGGAGCAAAC